UACGUAGGGGGCAAGCGUUAUCCGGAUUUACUGGGUGUAAAGGGAGCGUAGACGGUUGAUCAAGUCUGAAGUGAAAUGCAUGGGCUCAACCCAUGAACUGCUUUGGAAACUGGUUAACUAGAGUGCAGGAGAGGUAAGUGGAAUUCCUAGUGUAGCGGUGAAAUGCGUAGAUAUUAGGAGGAACACCGGUGGCGAAGGCGGCUUACUGGACUGUAACUGACGUUGAGGCUCGAAAGCGUGGGGAGCAAAC
rnacentral:rRNA from 1 species